rnacentral:tRNA from 1 species
CNANCUACACUUUAAGUUAAGAUUUUCAUUUACAUUGAAAUAUAGUAUCGUGCAAUUCGAUAUAGUUUGA